rnacentral:rRNA from 1 species
GACGUAGGGGGCCAGCGUUGCUCGGAAUUACUGGGUGUAAAGGGUUCGUAGGCGGUGUGGCAAGUCGGGAGUGAAAUCUCUGGGCUCAACCCAGAGUCUGCUUCCGAAACUGCUGUGCUUGAGUGUGGGAGAGGCGCGUGGAAUUGCAGGUGUAGCGGUGAAAUGCGUAGAUAUCGGGAGGAACACCUGUGGCGAAAGCGGCUCACUGGACCAUUACUGACGCUGAUGCUCGAAAGCUAGGGGAGCAAACAGG